rnacentral:rRNA from 1 species
AUUGAACGCUGGCGGCAGGCUUAACACAUGCAAGUCGAGCGGGGUGAUGGUGCUUGCACUAUCACUUAGCGGCGGACGGGUGAGUAAUGCUUAGGAAUCUGCCUAUUAGUGGGGGACAACAUCUCGAAAGGGAUGCUAAUACCGCAUACGUCCUACGGGAGAAAGCAGGGGAUCACUUGUGACCUUGAGCUAAUAGAUGAGCCUAAGUCGGCUUAGCUAGUUGGUGGGGUAAAGGCCUACCAAGGCGACGAUCUGUAGCGGGUCUGAGAGGAGGAUCCGCCACACUGGGACCGAGACACGGCCCAGACUCCUACGGGAGGCAGCAGUGGGGAAUAUUGGACAAUGGGGGGAACCCUGAUCCAGCCAUGCCGCGUGUGUGAAGAAGGCCUUAUGGUUGUAAAGCACUUUAAGCGAGGAGGAGGCUCUUUUGGUUAAUACCCAAGAUGAGUGGACGUUACUCGCAGAAUAAGCACCGGCUAACUCUGUGCCAGCAGCCGCGGUAA